rnacentral:lncRNA from 1 species
ACCAGCCCAGCUCUCAAGUAUGAAGAGAAUGUCGGGAGAGGAAGUGGCCACUCUGAGUCAGCAUGAGUCAUCUCGUUCCAGUGAGAAUCAAGGCUGAGGUGUGCGCCUUUUUCUUUUUCUCUUUUUUUGGUCUUAAUCAUGUGGACAUCACUGGGAAUGGAGGGAACUGAGUGAGUGUAUGGUCGCUGCUUUUUACAUUUUAGGCAGGCUGUGCCUAAUCCAAGUGCAUAUCUUGAGGUCUUCGCAGAGCAGUUUCUGGGAAGUGGAGUCUCAGCGUCACCCUGGCUCUGAUGCAGUACGCUCUCAGAGAAGCUUCUGCAGCCAUGGAGCGGUUCUGUGCUGCCCAGCGCAGCGGCCACAAGCCACAUGUGGCUGGGGAGUGCUGGAAAUGUGGCCUGAGUGACUAGGAACUGAACUGGAAGUUGUAUUUAAUUUCACUUCAUUUACAUGUUCAUAGCCGCCAUGGCUGGCAGCUACCAGGUUGGUGCACGAACUUUCCCAGUUGGGGGUGGAUGUCCUUUACAGUUGUCCCCCAUCCGUGGUUUUACAUUCUUUAAUUCAGUUUCCCAUGAUCAACUAUGAUCCAGAAAGUACUAAAUUCUAGAAAUAAGCAAUUCAGACGUUUUAUAUUGCACACUGAUCUGAGUAGCCUGAUGAAAUCUCUCAGCAUCUGGAGGGACAUGAAUCAUCCCUUUGUCCAGUGUAUCCGUGCAGUAUAUGUUACCUGCCCGUUAGACACUUAGUAGCCAUCUGUGCUGUCAGACUGUAGCAGUAUUUUAACACUUAUGUUCACGUGUUAAUAGUGGCCCUAUAGCACAAGAGUACACAGUAUGUUGUUACAAUUGUUCUAUUUUAUUAGUAGUAAUUGCUAAUCUUUUACUGUGCCUAAUUUAUAAGUUCAAUUUGAUCAUAGGUAUAUAUGUACAGGGGCAAAAACAGGUUAUACAGGGUUGGGAAUUACCUGUGGUUUCAGGCAUCCACUGGGGGUUUUGGAUCUUCUCCUUGGAUGGCAAGUGGUGGUGGGGGGCGGGGCAGGGACUUCUGUAUUUUUGCUUGUGUGAAGUCAUUCCAGGGACUAUGUCACUAGAGGGGCAUAACCAAGGGUCAGGGUCAGACUCGAUUGCUGUCAGUGUACUAUAAGUCUCCCAAGCUUGUCUUUGGAUGGCUUUUUAAGGGACAGUCAUUAAACUGUGUU